UUUUAUUUUUAUUAAAUAUUUUUUUAUUUUUAUUUAUUUUUAGUUAUUUAAUUAAAAAAUUUUUUGAAAUUUACUGAUAAGGUUUUAAAUUAUUAAAUGAGAAUAAUUUAUUAGUACCUUUUGUAUCAGGGUAAUCUAAAUUUUUAAAUUAUUUUAUUUUCCCGAAUUUUGGUUAAUUAAGUUUAUAUUAUUUUAAUUGUAACAAAAAUUUUUUUAAUUUUAAUUUAAUAAUUAAAAGUUAUUUGUACCUUCAUAUAUCUGGUUUUCAUGGAUUAAGUUUAAUUUUAGAUUUAAUAAAAAUUUAUUUUUUUUGUUUAAUUCUUAUGUUAAUUGGGAUAAUCUAAUUAAUUAGUUAAAAUUUUUUUUUUAUAAAUUUUUUUUAAGUUUAAUAUUUUCUAUAAAGUAUUUAAUAAUUUAUUUUUUUUUUUAUUUAAUUUAUUUUUAUUUAAUUUUUUACUUGAUUUAGUUAUAAAAUUUUUCUAUAUUUUUAAUAAUGGAUUAAUUAGUAUAAUUUAUGUAUUUAUAUUAAUAAAUUAGACAAAUAUAGUUUUCAUCUGUUUAUUAAAAACAUUUCCUUUAGAAAAAAAUUAAAGGUAAUUUCUGCCCUAUGAAUAUUUAAAUGGCUGCAGUAUUUUAACUGUACAAAGGUAGCAUAAUAAUUUGAUUUUUAAUUGGAAUCUAGAAUGAAUGAAUUAAUGAAAAACUUAUUUUAUUAUUUAAAAAUUUAUAAUUUUAUUUUUUGGUAAAAAAGCUAAAAUUUUUUUUUGGGACGAGAAGACCCUAUAGAAUUUUAGUUUAUUUUUUUUUAUUUUUAUUAUUUUUAAUGAAUAAUUUUAAUUAAAUUUUAAUUGGGGUUAUUAAUAUAAUUAAAUUUUAUUUUAAAAACUCAUUUUUAGUGUUUGAUUGAUCCUAUAUAUAGAUUAUAAGAUUAAAUUACCUUAGGGAUAACAGCGUAAUUUUUAUUUUAAGUUCUAAUUUGAAUAAUUGUUUUCGACCUCGAUGUUGAAUUAAGAAUAUUUUGAGGUGCAUAAGUUUCAAUAAUAAGUCUGUUCGACUUUUAAAUUCUUACAUGAUUUGAGUUUAAACCGGUGUGAGCCAGGUUGGUUUCUAUCUUAUAAUAAUUUAAUUUUUUUAGUACGAAAGGACCAAUUAGUUUUAUUUAAAUAAUUUA
rnacentral:rRNA from 1 species